UACGUAGGGACCAAGCGUUGUCCGGAAUCAUUGGGCGUAAAGCGCGCGUAGGCGGCCCGGUAAGUCCGUUGUGAAAGUCAAAGGCUCAACCUUUGAACGCCGAUGGAUACUGCCGGGCUAGAGUCCGGAAGAGGCGAGUGGAAUUCCUGGUGUAGCGGUGGAAUGCGCAGAUAUCAGGAGGAACACCAAUAGCGAAGGCAGCUCGCUGGGACGGUACUGACGCUGAGGCGCGAAAGCGUGGGGAGCGAACAGG
rnacentral:rRNA from 1 species